GAUGAACGCUGGCGGCGUGCCUAAUACAUGCAAGUCGAGCGAACGGACGAGAAGCUUGCUUCUCUGAUGUUAGCGGCGGACGGGUGAGUAACACGUGGAUAACCUACCUAUAAGACUGGGAUAACUUCGGGAAACCGGAGCUAAUACCGGAUAAUAUUUUGAACCGCAUGGUUCAAAAGUGAAAGACGGUCUUGCUGUCACUUAUAGAUGGAUCCGCGCUGCAUUAGCUAGUUGGUAAGGUAACGGCUUACCAAGGCAACGAUGCAUAGCCGACCUGAGAGGGGGAUCGGCCACACUGGAACUGAGACACGGUCCAGACUCCUACGGGAGGAAGCAGUAGGGAAUCUUCCGCAAUGGGCGAAAGCCUGACGGAGCAACGCCGCGUGAGUGAUGAAGGUCUUCGGAUCGUAAAACUCUGUUAUUAGGGAAGAACAUAUGUGUAAGUAACUGUGCACAUCUUGACGGUACCUAAUCAGAAAGCCACGGCUAACUACGUG
rnacentral:rRNA from 1 species